rnacentral:lncRNA from 1 species
GGCACAGGUAGACCUGGCUUCAAAAACAUCAGAAGACAUAGAAUCAAAUGAUGCCGUGACUCACCGGGACGCAAAUGUUCUCUCUCACUGUCUCUGUGACCCUCAGAGAAGUUCUCUUUUCUGGGCUCAAGGCUUACAAAUUUGCAAGUCUGGGUCUAGAUGUAAAGUAAGUGUAUUUGUUCUCAGUUGUUGUGGUUUGAGUUCCAAGAUUGAGUCUUUUGGACCAGAUUAGACCACAUGAGUAUCUCUGGUCUAAUGUCUCAAGCCAGGGGGAUUCGAUGUUCUGACUGGUUGGGCCUUGCUCAUGUAUCCACCCCCAGAGCCAGGAGUACAAUGAUUACACCUGAGCCACUUGAACUGGACGUGUGGAGGGUGGGUGGUCCCUCAAAGUAAAUUAGGGCCAGUUAUCAGAAGAAGGGGCAGGAAAAAGUAGCAAAUGCAUUCUGAGAGUGUCAGGAGAUUAGGUCAGAGGGCUAGCUCAUGAAGUAUCUAGCAUAGCAGGGGCUCCAUGACUAAUAUCAUUUGAUUACAGUGACUGCGUGAAGCACAGUGUUGAGAAGGAUUCUGAAGCUGAAUUAUUGCAUCUCCAUGUGCAGUAGUUGAAAGAUAACAUGGAAAUACCAUUUCCUGCUGAAGAUGAGCAAUAUAUUUAAAUAUCUCUUGCUUUGAUGAAGUUCUGUGUGUACCCUGCCCCGAUCUUCCUUCUGUGGAAAUCAAG